rnacentral:tRNA from 1 species
GGAGGCGUGUGGGUGCCUGGUGGCCCCCCUGGUCUUCAAAACCAGUGGAUCCGAGGAUCUCGGGUCGGCGGGUUCGAUUCCCGUCCGCCUCCG